GGCCCAUUAGCUCAGUUGGUUAGAGCGUCGUGCUCGUGACGCGAAGGUCGCGGGUUCAAUCCCCUCAUGGGCCA
rnacentral:tRNA from 1 species